rnacentral:lncRNA from 1 species
AGUUUGAAAAGCCUUACUCAAGAAAGACCACUGUAGCUUGACUGUAGCUUGCAUAUGGAUGGGACAGACAAGAACAACUGAGGUGCUUGCAAAGGUUACUCAGAUCAGAUGGACAGAAUGAGAGAGGCCUUGUCAAGUAGACCUUUAAGCUAGACAAUGAAGCAAGGGAACAAGUCAUACAUCAAAGAGACAGGAAAAGAUUUUCAAGUAGAGAGAACAAUGGAAAGAAGAGAGCUUGGAUCAUUCAGAGCAUAAAGGAAUUCAACCUGGCUGAAGUAUCAAGAGAAUGGAGUAGAGAGUGAUGUGUGUAUAUUGACAUAUAUUUUAAAGAUAAGAUUGAUAGGGCUAGAUGAGAGUAAUGAGGGAGUAAUUAGGACUUACUCACCGUGGAACAUGCCUGUCACCAAGUAGAACUGAAAGGAAUAAACAACCAUCAUUAUCUGAAUCCAACACAUUCCCGACGGAGUCUCUCUCUACUCAUCUCUGAUCAGACUCACCCUCACUUUCUCCAGGUUAACUGCAAUACUUUCUCACUUGGAUUAGAGUAGAAAAGAAUGAUGUUAUUUUAUUCUUUUGUGGACUAUCUCUAGGCAACAACAGUUUAUAAAGCUGGAUAUGUGGGUAUCACCUGAAAAUUAGCCUGCUUUCUCUGAAACAGCACCACAAAAAUACCUGUGCACCCUAUAUCAGUCAAAAUGCAGGCUGUCAUAGCCAAAGAGGUACUUGGGUUCCUUCAUCCAAAGCACACCUCUUUGUGUUAAC